UCAUUUUUAUAGAACAAUGCGAGAUCAAUUUCUUUCCAAGAGAUGGGCUGAAGAGUUAGUCGGAUUGAGAUUGAGUUCGAAGCCUAGAGAAAUGAG
rnacentral:tRNA from 1 species